GCUACGGCCAUACCAGCCUGGGUACGCCCGAUCUCGUCUGAUCUCGGAAGCUAAGCAGGGUCGGGCCUGGUUAGCACUUGGAUGGGAGACCGCCUGGGAAUACCAGGUGCUGUAAGCA
rnacentral:rRNA from 1 species